rnacentral:lncRNA from 1 species
GUUUGAAAUAUUCUUUUGGCUUGGCUCGGUAUUUACACAUCAAGUCAUUGUGUUAGUGUUACGGUAAUCUUUUGUAUUAUUGUCAUUCAUGUUUGCUUUUGUGCUUUGUUUAUAGAGUAUGUACAUGCCUAUUUGUUUUUUGUUGACAUAGUUGUGUUUUUACAGUAAUCAAGGAUGUUCGCUUGUCAUGUUUUGAGAUUUUUGUCAGAUUUUC